rnacentral:rRNA from 1 species
CCCUUAGAUGUCCUGGGCCGCACGCGCGCUACACUGAUGCAUUCAACGAGUUUUACCUUGGCCGAGAGGCCUGGGCAAUCUUUUAAACCUGCAUCGUGAUAGGGAUAGAUUAUUGCAAUUAUUAAUCUUGAACGAGGAAUUCCUAGUAAACGCAAAUCAUCAAUUUGCAUUGAUUACGUCCCUGCCCUUUGUACACACCGCCCGUCGCACCCACCGAUUGAAUGGUCCGGUGAAGCCUCGGGAUUGUGGCCAGUUCACUUUAUUGGGAGUUGGCUGUGAGAACUUGUCUAAACCUUAUCAUUUAGAGGAAGGUGAAGUCGUAACA